rnacentral:rRNA from 1 species
AGGAUUCCCCUAGUAACUGCGAGUGAAGCGGGAAAAGCUCAAAUUUAAAAUCUGGCAGUCUUUGGCUGUCCGAGUUGUAAUUUAGAGAAGCACUGCCCGUGCUGGACUGUGUACAAGUCUCCUGGAAUGGAGCGUCAUAGAGGGUGAGAAUCCCGUAUAUGACACAGUUUCCAGGACUUAGUGGCAUGCUCUCCAAGAGUCGAGUUGUUUGGGAAUGCAGCUCAAAAUGGGUGGUAAAUUCCAUCUAAAGCUAAAUAUAGGCGAGAAACCGAUAGCGAACAAGUACCGUGAGGGAAAGAUGAAAAGAACUUUGGAAAGAGAGUUAAACAGUACGUGAAAUUGUUGAAAGGGAAACGCUUGAAGUCAGUCGCAUUGCUGGAAAUCACACUUGCUUUUUGCUUGUGGCUCUUUCCUAGUAAUGGGUCAGCAUCAGUUUUGAUUGUUGGACAAGGGUUAGAGGAAUGUGGCAUCCUUGGAUGUGUUAUAGCCUCUGAUCAUAUGCAAUGAUUGAGACUGAGGAACUCAGCACUUGUGCUUAGGAUGCUGGCAUAAUGGCUUUAAUCGACCCGUCUUAAAACCCCGG